CCUACGGGGGGCAGCAGUGGGGAAUAUUGGACAAUGGGGGCAACCCUGAUCCAGCCAUGCCGCGUGUGUGAAGAAGGCCCUCGGGUUGUAAAGCACUUUCAGUGAGGAAGAACGCCUGGUGGUUAAUACCCAUCAGGAAAGACAUCACUCACAGAAGAAGCACCGGCUAACUCCGUGCCAGCAGCCGCGGUAAUACGGAGGGUGCGAGCGUUAAUCGGAAUUACUGGGCGUAAAGCGCGCGUAGGUGGCUUGAUAAGCCGGUUGUGAAAGCCCCGGGCUCAACCUGGGAACGGCAUCCGGAACUGUGAAGCUAGAGUGCAGGAGAGGAAGGUAGAAUUCCCGGUGUAGCGGUGAAAUGCGUAGAGAUCGGGAGGAAUACCAGUGGCGAAGGCGGCCUUCUGGACUGACACUGACACUGAGGUGCGAAAGCGUGGGUAGCAAACAGGAUUAGAUACCCUUGUAGUC
rnacentral:rRNA from 1 species